rnacentral:lncRNA from 1 species
AUAUUCCUUCUUCUUCUUCUUCUUCUUCUUCCUUUUCUUUCAGUGUUGUCUCUUCCUUUCUCUCAAACCAUAUUACCAUUUUCUCUCCUUAAUUCUAUGUCUUCCUGAUGGAAAUGGAGAAUUAUCAAGGUGAUCUAACCGACGUCGUACGCGCUGGCGCCGCCGCUUUACCACCCGACACCUGGGAAUUCCCCCCUCCUCCUUCUGCACCACCUUCCAACUCGAGCUUCUCAUCUGCCCUACUCGACGACGAGCACAAUUUCUUCGGCGACCCCUUUUCCAACUUCAGAGACCCACUUCUCCACGCGCCUCCCAUGGACGGUUCCCCACCCGCCCUUUACUUCCCUCCUCCUCCUCUUCCUAAAGUUGACCUCUUACCCACCGGCGUUGGCGGCGGCGGAGGCUACGAUUUCUUGUCCGAUGCAACUGCUUCUACUUCUAGUACUACUACUCCACCGCCGCCGAUCCUGGCUUACCACCAUCAUACCAAAAUGUAUGGGGGGAUUCAGAUCUCAACGCCGCCGACCGUAGGUUGCGUCAACAACAAGUCCGAGGCGGGGGUACCCAACUUCUCCUUCUCCAGGAACUGCACCCCCCCCGCCGCCGAUCCUGGGUUACCACCAUGCGAAAAUAUUUGGUGGGAUUCAGAUCUCAACGCCGCCGACCGGUUGCGGCAACAGCAAGUCCGAGCCGGUGGGGACCAUUUCGACGGCGGAGAUUGCGGCGGUUCGUUCUCCGAGGAUAGGUUUCAACAAGGGCGUGGAGGAUCAGAUGAUUAACAAUAAUAAUAGCCGUAAUAAUAAUAAUUAUAACAGCGCUAGUUGUCUUGCUGGGCCGGUGCAGCAGAUCUCGUCUCCGCGGAAUCUGGGCAUCAA